rnacentral:rRNA from 1 species
UACCAGCACCCCGAGUGGUCGGGACGAUUAUUGGGCCUAAAGCAUCCGUAGCCGGUUCUUUAAGUCCUCCGUUAAAUCCAUCUGCUUAACAGAUGGGCUGCGGAGGAUACUAUAGAGCUAGGAGGCGGGAGAGGCAAGCGGUACUCAGUGGGUAGGGGUAAAAUCCGUUGAUCCAUUGAAGACCACCAGUGGCGAAGGCGGCUUGCCAGAACGCGCUCGACGGUGAGGGAUGAAAGCUGGGGGAGCAAACCGGAUUAGAUACCCGGGUAGUCCCAGCUGUAGACUAUGCGGGCUAGGUGUUGGGGUGGCUACGAGCCACUUCAGUGCCGCAGGGAAGCCAUUAAGCCCCGCCGCCUGGGGAGUACGGCCGCAAGGCUAGAAACUUAAGGAAUUGGCGGGGAGCACCACAAGGCGUGAAGCUUGCGGUUC